AGCGAACGCUGGCGGCAGGCUUAACACAUGCAAGUCGAACGGAUCCUUCGGGAUUAGUGGCGGACGGGUGAGUAACACGUGGGAACGUGCCUUUUGGUUCGGAACAACACAGGGAAACUUGUGCUAAUACCGGAUGUGCCCUUCGGGGAAAGGAUUUAUCGCCAUUAGAGCGGCCCGCGUCUGAUUAGCUAGUUGGUGAGGUAAAGGCUCACCAAGGCUACGAUCAGUAGCUGGUCNGAGAGGAUGAUCAGCCACACUGGGACUGAGACACGGCCCAGACUCCUACGGGAGGCAGCAGUGGGGAAUCUUGCGCAAUGGGGGAAACCCUGACGCAGCCAUGCCGCGUGAAUGAUGAAGGUCUUAGGAUUGUAAAAUUCUUUCAGCGGGGACGAUAAUGACGGUACCCGCAGAAGAAGCUCCGGCUAACUUCGUGCCAGCCGCCGCCGUAAU
rnacentral:rRNA from 1 species